UUCGAUUAGAGUUUGAUCCUGGCUCAGGACGUACGCUGGCGGCGUGCUUAACACAUGCAAGUCGAACGGUGAAGAGAAGCUUGCUUCUUGGAUCAGUGGCGAACGGGUGAGUAACACGUGAGCAAUCUGCCCUUGACUCUGGGAUAAGCGUUGGAAACGACGUCUAAUACCGGAUACGACCCUCGGAGGCAUCUCCUGGGGGUGGAAAGAAUUUUGGUCAAGGAUGAGCUCGCGGCCUAUCAGCUAGUUGGUGAGGUAAUGGCUCACCAAGGCGACGACGGGUAGCCGGCCUGAGAGGGUGACCGGCCACACUGGGACUGAGACACGGCCCAGACUCCUACGGGAGGCAGCAGUGGGGAAUAUUGCACAAUGGGCGAAAGCCUGAUGCAGCAACGCCGCGUGAGGGACGAAGGCCUUCGGGUUGUAAACCUCUUUUAGUAGGGAAGAAGCGAAAGUGACGGUACCUGCAGAAAAAGCACCGGCUAACUACGUGCCAGCAGCCGCGGUAAUACGUAGGGUGCAAGCGUUGUCCGGAAUUAUUGGGCGUAAAGAGCUCGUAGGCGGUUUGUCGCGUCUGCUGUGAAAACCCGAGGCUCAACCUCGGGCCUGCAGUGGGUACGGGCAGACUAGAGUGCGGUAGGGGAGAUUGGAAUUCCUGGUGUAGCGGUGGAAUGCGCAGAUAUCAGGAGGAACACCAAUGGCGAAGGCAGAUCUCUGGGCCGUAACUGACGCUGAGGAGCGAAAGCAUGGGGAGCGAACAGGAUUAGAUACCCUGGUAGAAUCACUAGUGAAUUC
rnacentral:rRNA from 1 species